UACGAAGGGGGCUAGCGUUGUUCGGAUUUACUGGGCGUAAAGCGCACGUAGGCGGAUUGUUAAGUGAGGGGUGAAAUCCCAGGGCUCAACCCUGGAACUGCCUUUCAUACUGGCAAUCUUGAGUCCGGAAGAGGUGAGUGGAACUCCUAGUGUAGAGGUGGAAUUCGUAGAUAUUAGGAAGAACACCGGUGGCGAAGGCGGCCCACUGGAUCGGUACUGACGCUGAGGUGCGAAAGCGUGGAGCAACAGG
rnacentral:rRNA from 1 species